GACGAACGCUGGCGGCGUGCCUAAUACAUGCAAGUAGAACGCUGAAGGAGGAGCUUGCUUCUCUGGAUGAGUUGCGAACGGGUGAGUAACGCGUAGGUAACCUGCCUGGUAGCGGGGGAUAACUAUUGGAAACGAUAGCUAAUACCGCAUAAUAGUAGAUGUCGCAUGACAUUUGCUUAAAAGUUUCAAUUGCAUCACUACCAGAUGGACCUUCUUUGUAUUAGCUAGUUGGUGAGGUAACGGCUCACCAAGGCAACGAUGCAUAGCCGACCUGAGAGGGGGAUCGGCCAGACUGGGACUGAGACACGGCCCAGACUCCUACGGGAGGCAGCAGUAGGGAUUCUUCGGCAAGGGACGGAAGUCUGACCGAGCAACGCGGCGUGAGUGAAGAAGGGUGUCGGAUCGUAAAGCUCUGUUGUGAGAGAAGAACGAGUGUGAGCGUGGAAAGUUCACACUGUGACGGUAUCUUACCAGAAAGGGACGGCUAACUACGUG
rnacentral:rRNA from 1 species